rnacentral:rRNA from 1 species
GAUCAUGGCUCAGGUUGAACGCUGGCGGCAUGCCUUACACAUGCAAGUCGAACGGCAGCACGGGAGCUUGCUCCUGGUGGCGAGUGGCGAACGGGUGAGUAAUACAUCGGAACGUACCCUGAAGUGGGGGAUAACGUAGCGAAAGUUACGCUAAUACCGCAUAUUCUGUGAGCAGGAAAGAGGGGGAUCGCAAGACCUCUUGCUUUAGGAGCGGCCGAUGUCGGAUUAGCUAGUUGGUGAGGUAAAGGCUCACCAAGGCGACGAUCCGUAGCGGGUCUGAGAGGAUGAUCCGCCACACUGGGACUGAGACACGGCCCAGACUCCUACGGGAGGCAGCAGUGGGGAAUUUUGGACAAUGGGCGCAAGCCUGAUCCAGCCAUGCCGCGUGAGUGAAGAAGGCCUUCGGGUUGUAAAGCUCUUUCGGUGGGGAAGAAAUUGCACAGGAUAAUACCUUGUGUAGAUGACGGUACCCGCAUAAGAAGCACCGGCUAACUACGUG